GCCCUAUUCCCUUUUGCUGAGACAUACUACAGAAGAAGUCCUUGAUGCGUGUCUAGAAGCAAUUGAACCCAAUCAGGCAGCUUUGACAUCUCACUUGCGGAACCAGGUCAUGGAUGAUCUCACAAGAGGUCUGAGAAAUCACAGAUGGUUCAACGGGUUUGAUAUAUCAGAUGAAUUACCAAAGAAAUUUUCCCUAGAGCAGUGGGUCAAGCUAGCUAAGGAAUCUCAGGCGACUGUUUUCAUUGCAGUGCAUGGAGGCAUUGGAGAAGAUGGCACACUUCAAUCUUUACUAGAGACAGAAGGGGUUCCCUAUACAGGUCCUGGUGCCAUGGCUUCAAAAACAUGUAUGGACAAAGUUGCAACCUCUCUUGCUCUACAACAUCUGACCGAUUUUGGAGUCCUUACAAUAAAUAAAGAUGUGAAGAAGAAAGAGGAUCUGCUGAAAAUGUCCAUAUCUGAUCACUGGCUUGACUUGAAGUCAAAACUUCACUGUGACACUUUAUGUGUAAAACCGGCCAGAGAUGGUUGCUCAACUGGUGUGGCCAGAUUGUGCUGUGAGGGGGACCUUGCCUUCUACGUAAAUGCAUUGCAAGACUGCCUACCUCGUAUUCCUCCUAACAGCCUGUCAAAGGCACAUG
rnacentral:misc_RNA from 1 species